GGAGAGGUCGCAUAGUCCGGCCGAGUGCGCUCGUCUCGAAAACGAGUAGGGUUUACGCCCUCGAGGGUUCAAAUCCCUCCCUCUCCGCCA
rnacentral:tRNA from 1 species